AUCUUGGAGCAGUUUGAUAAAUUGAAUGCUAAGCCCAGGCACUCCCAUUUGAUCCAGCGUAUCAUACCCGAGAUUCGGAAUUACUUUACCAAAGCACUUACCAAACUUAACCCACGCAACUUGCGGCUGUAGAUUACUGGUAUUGGAUUCUUGAUGUCUAACUGGAUAACAUUGUACAGAAAAUAGUAGAUCUUCUCAUUCAUGUCGAGCCAUUUGAAGGUUCUAAAUCUAAUAGGCUGGUUAUAUGGCACAUAAUCUUCCCUGAUACCAGAAUGCUGUUUCAUGUGUAUGCAUUGAACAUUGUUUCCAUUUUCUUGGAUGUUGAUGGGGUACGUUCUCCAUCAACAUUAUUGUUGCCCUGUAUUGUUAUGUAUUCUGUAACUCUUUUAGUGAGUUGGCGUUCAGAGAGAGCAAGAGUUGAUUUCUGGAAAAUUG
rnacentral:misc_RNA from 1 species